rnacentral:rRNA from 1 species
AAAGGGUGCGUAGGCGGAUUUUUAAGUCAGGGGUGAAAUCCCGAGGCUCAACCUCGGAACUGCCUUUGAUACUGGGGAUCUUGAGUCCGGAAGAGGUGAGUGGAACUGCGAGUGUAGAGGUGAAAUUCGUAGAUAUUCGCAAGAACACCGGUGGCGAAGGCGGCUCACUGGUCCGGAACUGACGCUGAGGCACGAAAGCGUGGGGAGCAAACAGGAUUAGAUACCCCGGU